ACCCGCUGAACUUAAGCAUAUCAAUAAGCGGAGGAAAAGAAACCAACAGGGAUUGCCUUAGUAACGGCGAGUGAAGCGGCAACAGCUCAAAUUUGAAAUCUGGCCUCUUUGGGGUCCGAGUUGUAAUUUGCAGAGGGCGCUUUGGCGUUGGCAGCGGUCCAAGUUCCUUGGAACAGGACGUCACAGAGGGUGAGAAUCCCGUACGUGGUCGCUAGCCUUCGCCGUGUAAAGCCCCUUCGACGAGUCGAGUUGUUUGGGAAUGCAGCUCUAAAUGGGAGGUAAAUUUCUUCUAAAGCUAAAUACUGGCCAGAGACCGAUAGCGCACAAGUAGAGUGAUCGAAAGAUGAAAAGCACUUUGGAAAGAGAGUCAAACAGCACGUGAAAUUGUCGAAAGGGAAGCGCUUGCAGCCAGACUUGCCUGUAGUUGCUCAUCCGGGCUUUUGCCCGGUGCACUCUUCUGCGGGCAGGCCAGCAUCAGUUUGGGCGGUUGGAUAAAGGUCUCUGUCAUGUACCUCUCUUCGGGGAGGCCUUAUAGGGGAGACGACAUGCAACCAGCCCAGACUGAGGUCCGCGCAUUUGCUAGGAUGCUGGCGUAAUGGCUGU
rnacentral:rRNA from 1 species